UACGUAGGGUGCGAGCGUUAAUCGGAAUUACUGGGCGUAAAGCGUGCGCAGGCGGUUUUGUAAGCCAGAUGUGAAAGCCCCGGGCUUAACCUGGGAAUGGCAUUUGGGACUGCAUGGCUGGAGUGUGGCAGAGGAGACUGGAAUUCCUGGUGUAGCAGUGAAAUGCGUAGAUAUCAGGAGGAAUACCGAUGGCGAAGGCAGGUCUCUGGGCUGACACUGACGCUCAUGCACGAAAGCGUGGGGAGCAAACAGG
rnacentral:rRNA from 1 species